GGAGGGGGGUCUCUUUUAUUGCAACUCUAAGUAUUUGCAGCCUGCUUUAGGUGAACGUGUUUUCCAAGACGGUCUCUCUCCCGCUGUUGCGUAGUUGCAGCUUCUUGUUGGCAGGAAUGGGCCAAGGACUUCAGGGACAGGACUGUGGAACACGGAGUGAAUAUUUGGAGAGCUUAAAAAAAAAAGACAAAAAGACAGAUUCUUAAUUCAGUCUUGAUCAUAAUCAUUUUGUAAUGAUCACUGUGAGCAUCGAGCCUAACGUCUAUAGCAUCACUGUCCCUGCUCCUAUCCAGACCGUUGACAGCAAUCACUUAUUUGCACUGCCACGUAUCUGCCUAUGGCUGUGAAGAAUGCAGUUAGCUAGCGCAAAGCUGUCCUCAACGUGGCAGUCCGUAGAGCAGAGAAAAUCUACUUUGGCAGCAUAACAGCUAACCAUGGUUAGCUCGUCUCCUUCCUCCUGGUAUGCAGCUGAUAUGGAGAAUAAACCAGGUCAACUGAAUGAGUCAGCACAAGCAACAUCAAGACUUCUCAUUUUCUUAUGGCAUAAUUGCACCAUGAGAGUCACAGAAGACUUCAUAUACAAGGUUGGUGAGAGCAACAUGUAUCAAAAAAGGGACUGCAGUUUAAAGCUAGGGCUAGGACUUGGAGGAUGUGUAGGCAAACGGAAGGAGAGCCGGGGGAAGAAAAACCGAAAUGGAUUCAUUCUCUGUCCUGGAUGGAGGAGGAGAGGAGAAGAAGGGGACGUGCGAGCUUCCUUCAACUGCCUCUGUCCGGUGAAAAGUGAUCAAACCCCCGGGGCUCACUAG
rnacentral:lncRNA from 1 species